rnacentral:rRNA from 1 species
UACGUAGGCAGCGAGCGUUGUUCGGAAUUACUGGGCGUAAAGAGUGUGUAGGCGGUGCUCUAAGUUCGGUGUGAAAUCUCCCGGCUUAACUGGGAGGGUGCGGCGGAAACUGGAGUGCUAGAGGGUGGGAGAGGAAAGCGGAAUUCCUGGUGUAGCGGUGAAAUGCGUAGAUAUCAGGAGGAACACCUGCGGUGUAGACAGCUUUCUGGACCACUUCUGACGCUGAGACACGAAAGCGUGGGUAGCAAACAGG